rnacentral:rRNA from 1 species
UACAGAGGGUGCGAGCGUUAAUCGGAAUUACUGGGCGUAAAGCGUGCGCAGACGGUCACGUAAGUCGGGUGUGAAAGCCCCGGGCUCAACCUGGGAAUUGCAUUCGAGACUGCGUGGCUAGGGUGCGGAAGAGGGAAGCGGAAUUUCCGGUGUAGCGGUGAAAUGCGUAGAUAUCGGAAGGAACACCAGUGGCGAAAGCGGCUUCCUGGUCCAGCACCGACGUCAGGCACGAAAGCGUGGGGAGCAAACAGGG